UCAGUAACACCGUAGUCAACAUGCCCAAAGGACGUGGAUAACCUCGGGACAACUUGAGGAUAAACCAGCUGAUAGGCCAAGGUUUCUUGGAAUGAGCCAUGGCCGAAAUCUAUAUGGCCUUUGGAUUGGACUGCGGCCGAUCAGGCAUGUUGGUGAGGUAAUCGGACCACCAAACCUGUAACCAGGUACGGGCUUUGAGAGAAGGAGCCCGGAGAUGGGCACUGAGACGAGGGCCCAGGCCCUAUGGGGCGCAGCAGGCGCGAAACCUCUGCAAUAGGCGAAAGCCUGACAGGGUUACUCUGAGUGAUGCCCGCUAAGGGUAUCUUUUGGAAACAUCUAAAAAUGGUGCAGAAUCAAGGGGUGGGCAAGUCUGGUG
rnacentral:rRNA from 1 species